GGGAUGGCCGAGCGGUUUAAGGCACCGGUCUUGAAAACCGGUGUCUGAUGGCGAACAAUGCCUUGUAACACAAGGGUCAUCGCUGAAAAGGAGGACGAAAUCUGCCCCAAAUCUGCGCCCG
rnacentral:tRNA from 1 species